rnacentral:rRNA from 1 species
AUUGAACGCUGGCGGCAUGCUUUACACAUGCAAGUCGAACGGCAACGAGGAGAAGCUUGCUUCUCUGUCGGCGAGUGGCGAACGGGUGAGUAUAGCAGCGGAACGUGCCAAGUAGUGGGGGAUAACCAAACGAAAGUUUGGCUAAUACCGCGUAAGCUCCAAGGAGGAAAGUAGGGGACCUAAAUAAGGCCUUACGCUAUUUGAUCGGCCGAUGUCGGAUUAGCUAGUUGGUGGGGUAAUGGCUCACCAAGGCAAUGAUCCGUAGCGGGUCUGAGAGGACGAUCCGCCACACUGGAACUGAGACACGGCCCAGACUCCUACGGGAGGCAGCAGUAGGGAAUUUUGGACAAUGGGGGAAACCCUGAUCCAGCCAUGCCGCGUGUAUGAAGAAGGCCUUAGGGUUGUAAAGUACUUUUGUUAGGGAAGAAAAGCUAGUUUUUAAUAAAAAUUAGUGAUGACGGUACCUAAAGAAUAAGCACCGGCUAACUACGUG